UCAAUGGUAUGAACGCUUUCCUCACCAACAUCAGCAUUGGACGUGAUUGGCUGAUGCUGAUGGGUCAAUCUGCCAGGAAGAAUGGAAUCAACAUCAUGUACUGCAUGUCCUAUUCCAGAGAAGCCUUGCAGAGUCUGGAGAUUCAGCAGUCACAAUGGCACGUUCCAGCGACGACUACAGCCCCGGUAACGACAACUGGAAAAUUGGUAUAUCGUCGAUAUUUGCAGAUGCCAUUGGUCUUGCUCCGUUUAAAGAUACCUUCUGGACUACUACCAACCAGCCAGGAAACUCUUACAACAAGUCUGAGCCAAACCCUGGUCUCCAUCUGACGGUGGCUACUCUCAGCACUGCGGC